CAUAUUUAAGGUGGGGACCCCAACCUUAGUCAACACAAUAUAAACAACCCUCCACAAAGCAUACCCAGCAUGCCUUUUCAGUGAUUCUAGAUCAUGUUAAGUUGACAAUCAGUAUUUAAUCAUCACAAGCUCCAGGAGAUCAAACCCUCUUCGAGGGUUUUUAUAUUCUUCUUUCUUCCAUUUCAACUUUGAUGGGAAGGCAAUGGGGGGAUAAAAUAGCUAAAGGUCAGAGGAAAAUGAUGAAGGAGAUCCACAAAGCUAUCACAUUGGCUCUGAGUAAUACGGUAUUAACAAUAAUAACAGCAACAAUAAUAAUAACAAUAAUAGCAGUAAUACAGUUGUCUCCAUCAGGCAAUGUUGCUCACAUGAGCUCUCUCUGCUUCUCUCUGCUUCAGCUGUGUAUUAAUUAGAAAGACUUAUCCUCCAGACCAGGAACUCACUCCGGGAUGUGGGAUGAGCACCAUGCUUAUGGAAGUAGCUACUCAGGGAAUCACAGUCUAAACCUUAUUAAAGCAGAUUCUGCGCUUGUCAUUAAAAUUUAAACCACCAAGUGUUUUGAUGGCAUCUCUUCUCCACCUAGUGCAACCCCUUUUUAAUCCCAGAUACGAUUCUUCUGCACAUGAGGAAUAAAUUGGCUGUUCCCAGAUGACUAGUCAAAUGUCGACAAAUCACAAACCUAUCAUUUCACAAACUGGUGCCUUUUCCUGCUUUUCAUCUACACUGUUAAUAUAUGCCCACCUACUUCUGAGGAAAGUCCUAAGAUAUUUCAUCUAACAGUGACACACAAUGUUGGAUUCAAAGUUCUCUUUUCUCAAAACACACAUGAAGAAGCCAUGUGUGGUGUUUUGCACCUGCAAUCCCAGCACUAGGGAGCAUGAGAGGUCUGAGACCAAAUGCAGAAGUCAUAUAUGGAAGAAGUUCUCACUUCAACUGCUCAUGGAGCUGUGGUUGGAACACAAAUUGACAAAGGAAGAUUCGGGAAAGCUGAAAGUCCUCAGAUAUUUCUAAAUCAGACAAAAAGUUGAAGGAAAUGAAAAUAAAAAGGAAAGAAAAAAAAAGAAUGAAAGAAAG
rnacentral:lncRNA from 1 species